UACGUAGGGGGCUAGCGUUGUCCGGAAUCAUUGGGCGUAAAGCGCGUGUAGGCGGUCCGGUAAGUCCGCUGUGAAAGUCGGGGGCUCAACCCUCGAAUGCCGGUGGAUACUGUCGGGCUAGAGUGCGGAAGAGGCGAGUGGAAUCCUGGUGUAGCGGUGAAAUGCGUAGAUAUCAGGAGGAACACCAAUUGCGAAGGCAGCUCGCUGGGACGCUACUGACGCUGAGACGCGAAAGCGUGGGGGAUCAAACAGG
rnacentral:rRNA from 1 species